CACCUCAAGAGACCGAGUGUGGGCGAGAGAGAAUGAGUGUGCGGGUAAAGGAUCAAAUAAACAUACUGAACCAUUUUAACUUGUACGGUAGCAUUAAGUUGAGGUAUCCUGCAGUUUUUAAAUAUGCCUAAAAACUUUUAUUAUCAAUUAUAAACUAUUGUAUGGAGUCAAGGGAUUGGGGGCGUAUACAACUCGCCUGCGUGUGUUGCGUCAUCAGCUUGAAUCGCAGACGCAGACUGAGGUGGAGCUGAAUGAGACAAGAGCUGGAUCAAAGUUACGGCAGAGGACACACUUUGCAUGGCUUGAUGGUGUUGUGAACUGGAAGAAAUAAAACAUUCAAGGCUCCUCCGACAACAAUUAUCCUCUUUGAAAGUUUUACGUUCGUUGAAUUAAAGUUUAUUUGACUCCAUUUUCAUUGUUUUUAUUUCAUAUAUUAUUUAUAAUUGUAAAGCAAAUUCU